rnacentral:lncRNA from 13 species
AUUACAUUGACAAAAUGUAAUCAUCAAUGUGCUUUGAUUUUCAUGAGGACUUUUCGGAAGAAAAACAUUAAUGGCCACAAACAAGGACACCUCAGACAAGCCUAAACCUUCAUCAGUAUUCUAUUGUCAAAUAAAUACAUGGUAUUCAAUCUAUGUGCCCAGCAUAUUCAUCUCCCAUGUCUGACUCCAUGACUGGCGACUGAAGGUCCACUGGCGGCACAUGAGGAUUGUAAAUUCCUUCCCGGUUAGCCGUAAGUGAGGUAAUAUAUAUUUUCCCGCCAUGCUUUGCAGAGAGAGCUAACAAACUGGUGAUUUAUGUUGAUUACAGGACUAAAUUACUCCCCCUUUGCCGCGACACACAUGCAGUAUAUAGCCUAUCAUACACGACCCUAACAUCUUAUUGGAUGAGAGAACAAUUCCCAAGUCGGCUCUUUCUGACAGUGGGGCUACUCUACUGCACUCUCCGCUGCUGUCUCUCUAUCUGACCGUGGCAUAGCCAGCUAUGUUGAGGACCGGCAAUUAUCGGAACAUGUUUCAAGGGGAAGGCACGGGGCUGCGUGGCGGGAGUCUGGCUGGCGCGCGGGAAAGGAAGCGUUUUGCCCUGUGCAUCAACCAGGACUCCACUCUGUUGAGUAACGUCUCCAUUUCCCUGUGGGACUCCACUCUGUUGAGUAACGUCUCCAUUUCCCUGUGGGACUCCACUCUGUGGAGUAACGUCUCCAUUUCCCUGUAGGACUCCACUCUGUUGAGUAACGUCUCCAUUUCCCUGUAGGACUCCACUCUGUUGAGUAACGUCUCCAUUUCCCUGUAGGACUCCACUCUGCUGAGUAACAUCUCCAUUUCCCUGUAGGACUCCACUCUGUUGAGUAACUUCUCCAUUUCCCUGUGGGACUCCACUCUGUUGAGUAACGUCUCCAUUUCCCUGUAGGACUCCACUCUGUUGAGUAACGUCUCCAUUUCCCUGUAGGACUCCAC